rnacentral:tRNA from 1 species
ACUAUUUUGUCAGAUAAUAUGUGCUAGAUUUAGGAUCUAGUUAAAUAGAAUAAGUUCUAUAAGUAGUA